rnacentral:rRNA from 1 species
CCUACGGGCGGCAGCAGUGGGGAAUAUUGGGCAAUGGGCGCAAGCCUGACCCAGCAACGCCGCGUGAAGGAAGAAGGCCCUCGGGUUGUAAACUUCUUUUAACAUGGACGAAGAAAGUGACGGUACCUGUUGAAUAAGCCACGGCUAACUACGUGCCAGCAGCCGCAGUAAUACGUAGGUGGCAAGCGUUAUCCGGAUUUACUGGGUGUAAAGGGCGUGUAGGCGGGAGAGCAAGUCAGACGUGAAAUUCCAGGGCUCAACCCUGGAACUGGGGUUGAAACUGGUCGUCUUGAGUUAUGGAGAGGCAGGCGGAAUUCGGGGUGUAGCGGUGAAAUGCGUAGAUAUACGGAGGAACAACAGUGGCGAAGGCGGCCUGCUGGACAUUAACUGACGCUGAGGCGCGAAAGCGUGGGGAGCAAACAGGAUUAGAUACCCUUGUAGUC